rnacentral:tRNA from 1 species
GGGAAGGUGGCUCAGUGGUAGAGUGCUUGCCUUGCAUGCAUGAGGCAUUUCCU